rnacentral:misc_RNA from 1 species
UCUGGAGUUGAGCAAGAGGGAUGUGG